rnacentral:rRNA from 1 species
CCCUUGUCGUUAAUUGCCAUCAUUUAGUUGGGCACUUUAGCGAGACUGCCGGUGACAAACCGGAGGAAGGUGGGGAUGACGUCAAGUCCUCAUGGCCCUUAUGGGUAGGGCUUCACACGUCAUACAAUGGUCGAUACAAUGGGAAGCCAAGCCGUAAGGCGGAGCUGAUCCUCAAAAUCGAUCUCAGUUCGGAUUGUGGUCUGAAACUCGACCACAUGAAGGUGGAUUUGCUAGUAAUCGUGAAUCAGCCAUGUCACGGUGAAUACGUUCUCGAGUCUUGCACACACCGCCCGUCAAGCCAUGGAAGUAGGUGAUACCCGAAGUCGUUCUGUCUCUUGUAGAUGGGAUGUCGAAGGUAACGCUUAUGACUGGGGUUAAGUCGUAACAAGGUAGCCGUAGGGGAAUCUGCGGCUGAAUUACCUCCUUUC